UUCUCGGACGGGACUUCUCUCUCUCGCCCCCUUUCUAUUCUCCUCUCUCUCUCUCUCUCGCUCGCUCGCUCGGCCGGCCUUCUUUCCAAGCGGCGACGACAGGGGAGUGGCGCCCCCCUUGCCAGUUCUUCGUCGGGCGCUUCCCCGGCCGACAAGGUGGAGCUGCAGGACCAGUAAGGAGUGCUCGUGCCAAUCUCUUUAAUUGCAUAUGGUAUCAGAAGGGAGUAUUAAUGACUGGAUGAUCCUUUGGGCAAAAUGGAAGGAAAUAAUCUACCCUCUGGAAGCUUGAUGCAAGGAACACCUUAUGGUAGUUUAGACUUGCAUCAUAAUCAUGUGCAAAUGCACGCACCAAACUCCGGAAACCAGGGCUUCAACCACCCUCAGAUGGCCAGCAAUUUCCCCGUUCAUCUGAAUCAGGUUACAGAUUCCGAUCAGCUGUCUGAAUUUCAAUUUGGAGAACAUGGCAAGGCCAACCAUCACCACCACCACCAGCAGCAGCAGCAGCAAACAAAGAAUAGCAUGAGCGAUGAUGAGGAACAUGGUGUCAAUGAGGAUGCCACUGACAGCCAGACCGGCAAGGGCAAGAAGGGCUCGGCAUGGCAUCGGAUGAAGUGGACUGAUUCAAUGGUUAAGCUUUUAAUUACUGCAGCAUCUUACACCGGGGAGGAUCCAGGAGUUGAUUCAGGAGGUGGUAGGAGGAACUGUGCAAUGAUGCAGAAGAAAGGCAAGUGGAAGGCCAUAUCAAAAGUCAUGGGUCAGCGAGGCUGCCUUGUAUCGCCACAGCAGUGUGAGGAUAAGUUCAAUGACCUCAAUAAGAGGUAUAAGAGGCUUACAGAUCUCCUUGGUCGGGGUACUACUUGCAGAAUUGUGGCGAAUCCAGAACUUCUGGGUAGCAUGACUAAUCUCUCAGAUAAGACGAAAGAUGAUGCGAGGAAGAUAUUGAGCUCUAAACACUUGUUCUAUGAGGAGAUGUGCUCCUACCACAACAAUAAUCGGUUUAGUUUACCUGAAGAUCCUGCACUUCAGCAUUCAUUGCAGCUUGCUCUUAAGUGUAAAGAUGAGCAUGAUGCAAGGAGGAGAACCAGUGGAGAUGCUGAUGAAGGUUAUCAAAGUGCGGACACUGAUUAUGAGGAAGAGAAUGAUGAUGAGCAUCCAGCAGUGCAUGUCAAUAAGGGGACCCUGCCCAUGCAUAAAAGAAUGCGGUACAUGGUGGAUCAGGAGGAUGUAGGUUUCGGCAACUCUUCAAGCUCACAUGACUGUAGCAGGAGAUCUGAUCCCCAUAGCAUUUCAGUGGAUAUUAACAAAGUUUUCCCGGAUGGAACUAACUUGGCUUUGGUGCAAAAAGACUUGGCUACACAGUCUGCGGCUAUUGAGAAACAGCGCAUGGAAAUUGAAGCUGAGGCGCUGGAUCUUGCAAAGCAACGCCACAAGUGGGAGAGAUUUAGUAAGAAGAAGGACAGAGAACUGGAAAAGAUGAGGUUGGAGAAUGAACAAAUGAAGAUUGAGAAUAGACGUUUGGAGCUGGAGGUAAGACACAAGGAGUUGGACCUUGAACUCAGGCUAAAAGGCAAUGGCAGUCAGGCAUGACGUGAUGACAUCUAAUAAAUUGCAAAGGCUGACUUGCAAGAUGAUGUUACAGAGUAAGUUCAACCUUCAACGAGAACUUGAAAGUUGAAACAGCAAUGCACGCUUAGGGAGCCAUGCUGUCCUUGAGAUAUCUUGGCUGAUGUACACUAAGAGUUAUAAUGGUUGCUUAUGGCAUUGAUGUUAGAGUACUUCAAGAAAAUUGACAAGGACAGCAUUGAGCCGCCGACCAUGCAUUUUUCUAGGGGUUGCAGCGGAGAAGAAAUGGUUUUAUGAUGCCAACGAUGGUUCCGUUCAAAUUGUACUUCUUCCUUGCAAUAUCAUUUGUAUAUUGGAGCGGCCAAUUUGUACUGUAGCUUUGAAUUCUAUUUGCGUGCUAUGCGCUGUUAUUCUGUUGUAAAUUUCCACGUACAGCUGUAUCAUGGUCAGAUUGUUCAUCCAGAAUUUGAGCUGCCAUGCAGACUAGCCUAGCCCUGUUUAUUAAGUGUGUAGUUCCUUGAUGUAGGUCAACUGCUUCUUGAGUGAUAAAAACUGGCUUGGCGCCUCCUAGGCUGUGAGUUUAA